rfam:Ovis aries breed Texel chromosome 18, whole genome shotgun sequence.
UCCCUGGUGGUCCAGUGGUUAGGACCCCACACUUCCACUGCAGGGGACCAGAGUUCAAUCCCUUGUCGGGGAA